UACGAAGGGGGCUAGCGUUGUUCGGAAUUACUGGGCGUAAAGGGCUCGUAGGCGGCCAACUAAGUCGGACGUGAAAUCCCCAGGCUCAACCUGGGAACUGCGUCUGAUACUGGAUGGCUUGAAUCCGGGAGAGGGAUGCAGAAUUCCAGGUGUAGCGGUGAAAUGCGUAGAUAUCUGGAGGAAUACCGGUGGCGAAGGCGGCAUCCUGGACCGGCAUUGACGCUGAGGAGCGAAAGCGUGGGGAGCAAACGGGG
rnacentral:rRNA from 1 species